rnacentral:rRNA from 1 species
UACAGAGGUCUCAAGCGUUGUUCGGAUUCAUUGGGCGUAAAGGGUGUGUAGGCGGCGCCGUAAGUCGGGUGUGAAAUCUCGGGGCUUAACUCCGAAACUGCAUUCGAUACUGCGGUGCUUGAGGACUGGAGAGGAGACUGGAAUUCAUGGUGUAGCAGUGAAAUGCGUAGAGAUCAUGAGGAAGACCAGUGGCGAAGGCGGGUCUCUGGACAGGUCCUGACACUGAGACACGAAGGCCAGGGGAGCAAACGGG